rnacentral:rRNA from 1 species
UACAUGUGGGGCAAGCGUUGUUCGGAAUUACUGGGCAUAAAGGGUGCGUAGGUGGCUUGUUAAGUCAGGGGUGAAAGUUUUCGGCCCAACCGGAAAAUGGCCUUUGAUACUGGCGAGCUCGAGUGCGUGAGGGGUAACCGGAACGAGCAGUGUAGCGGUGAAAUGCGUAGAUAUUGCUCGGAAGGCCAACGGCGAAGGCAGGUUACUGGUGCGCAACUGACGCUCAGGCACGAAAGCGUGGGGAGCAAACAGG